ACGGGUGAGUAACACGUGGGAACAUAUCCGCUGGUGGGGGAUAACUACCCGAAAGGGUAGCUAAUACCGCAUAAGCCCGAAAGGGGAAAGGUGCGACAGCAUCGCCAGUGGAGUGGCCCGCGGCCCAUCAGCUAGUUGGUGGGGUAAGAGCCCACCAAGGCGACGACGGGUAGCCGGCGUGAGAGCGCGACCGGCCACAAGGACACUGAGACACGGGUCCUACUCCUACGGGAGGCAGCAGUGCGGAAUAUUGGACAAUGGGCGAAAGCCUGAUCCAGCGACGCCGCGUGCGGGACGAAGGCCUUCGGGUCGUAAACCGCUGUGGUAAGGGACGAAUAGCCGGUGGAGUGGAAAGCCACCGGAGGAGACGGUACCUUACUAGGAAGCCCCGGCUAACUACGUGCCAGCAGCCGCGGUAAUACGUAGGGGGCGAGCGUUACCCGGAAUCACUGGGCGUAAAGGGAGCGUAGGCGGCCCAGCAAGUCGACUGUGAAAAACCGGAGCUCAACUUCGGUCCUGCGGUCGAAACUGCUGGGCUUGAGGACAGUAGAGGGAGACGGAACUGCCGGUGUAGGGGUAAAAUCCUUAGAUAUCGGCAGGAACGCCGGUGGCGAAGGCGGUCUCCUGGGCUGGACCUGACGCUGAGGCUCGAAAGCCAGGGGAGCGAACGGGAUUAGAUACCCCGGUAGUCCUGGCCCUAAACGAUGCUCACUAGGUGUGGGGUGCGUAGAGCACUCCGUGCUGAAGCAAACGCGAUAAGUGAGCCGCCUGGGGAGUACGCCCGCAAGGGUGAAACUCAAAGGAAUUGACGGGGGCCCGCACAAGCGGUGGAGCGUGUGGUUUAAUUCGAUGCUAAGCGAAGGACCUUACCAGGGCUUGACAUGCUGGUGGUACUGAACCGAAAGGGGAAGGACCCACCGUUAGGUGGGAGCCAGCACAGGUGGUGCACGGCCGUCGUCAGCUCGUGCCGUGAGGUGUUGGGUUAAGUCCCGCAACGAGCGCAACCCCUGCCCCUAGUUGCCAGCGGUUAGGCCGGGCACUCUAGGGGGACCGCCGCCGACGAGGCGGAGGAAGGGGGGGAUGACGUCAGGUAUCGUGCCCCUUAUGUCCUGGGCGACACACGCGCUACAAUGGGACGGACAGCGGGGAGCGAGGCAGCGAUGCUGAGCAAAUCCCUGAAACCGUUCCUCAGUUCGGAUUGCAGGCUGCAACCCGC
rnacentral:rRNA from 1 species